rnacentral:rRNA from 1 species
AUUGAACGCUGGCGGCAUGCCUUACACAUGCAAGUCGAACGGCAGCGCGGACUUCGGUCUGGCGGCGAGUGGCGAACGGGUGAGUAAUACAUCGGAACGUACCCUGUUGUGGGGGAUAACUAGUCGAAAGAUUAGCUAAUACCGCAUACGACCUGAGGGUGAAAGUGGGGGACCGCAAGGCCUCACGCAGCAGGAGCGGCCGAUGUCUGAUUAGCUAGUUGGUGGGGUAAAGGCCCACCAAGGCGACGAUCAGUAGCUGGUCUGAGAGGACGAUGAGCCACAAUGGGACGGAGACACGGACCAGACUCCUACGGGAGGCAGCAGUGGGGAAUUUUGGACAAUGGGGGCAACCCUGAUCCAGCAAUGCCGCGUGUGUGAAGAAGGCCUUCGGGUUGUAAAGCACUUUUGUCCGGAAAGAAAUCGCGCUGGUUAAUACCUGGCGUGGAUGACGGUACCGGAAGAAUAAGCACCGGCUAACUACGUGCCAGCAGCCGCCGUAA